UCCCUGGUGGCUCAGACAGUAAAGCAUCUGCCUGAAAUGCAGGAGCCCCAGGUUCAAUCCCUGGGUUGGGAA